rnacentral:rRNA from 1 species
UACGUAGGGGGCGAGCGUUGUCCGGAUUCAUUGGGCGUAAAGAGCUCGUAGGCGGUUUGGCAAGUCGGAUGUGAAAUCUCCAGGCUCAACCUGGAGCGGCCAUUCGAUACUGCUAUGACUAGAGUCCAGUAGGGGAGUGUGGAAUUCCUGGUGUAGCGGUGGAAUGCGCAGAUAUCAGGAAGAACACCCGUGGCGAAGGCGGCUCUCUGGGACGGUACUGACGCUGAGACGCGAAAGCGUGGGGAGCGAACAGG